AGCUGGCCGAGCGCCGGCUGCCGGCCGACGCGCGUACUCUGCUCGACGCGUAUACGGCGCUAGCGUGCGGCCACGUGCCGCCCGAGGCCGUGCAGCGCCACGUGCUGCCCGCGCUCCGGUGCGUGCUGGACACGCUGGUCGCCCAGAGCAUGCCUCAGGCAGACGUGGCCGCCGCUCUCAUCAGGGAUUUCGAGCAGCGCGUGACGGCCCCGGCUCCUGAGACGCCGUCCUCGCAGCCGCUGGCGCCGGUGCCGGCCGUGCAGCAGGGCAUGGAGGAGGUGCGCAGUCGGGUCACCAAGAUGCUCAGCUCGUCCACCAUCCAGUCCAAGUCGUCCCAGAUAUCGGGACUGUUCAAGAAGAAGUAACGGCUCUCCAGAUGACAUGCUGGGCGCCCCAGCGGACCUCGCGCCGGCUGGGACCGAUGCCGAGGGGAGCGCAACAUUCCAUUGGAGCGGCCGUGGCGGCCGGCGGCAGCGGUCCCGUUCAGCCACGUAAGCGCCACGGCGGGCCGUACUGCGCCGGCCGGCCGCGGAGCCCAUCCCAUUCCAGAGUCGUGCCUGCCGGCGGACGACGUUUGUGACGCCGCGUGCAUGUCAGGCGGGUAUGCGUGGUGCCGUGCCACGGCCCGGCGUCUCUCGCCGAGCGCGCUGUGAUCAUGAGUAAUCUCUGGGCGAGGCCACGCGGCGAGCCGGCUGUGCUUCGGCCCCCGGUCGCCAGGGGCGUUCCAGUCGGCCCGGCGCCACCUGGGGGCGUCAGCUCGUGCGUGGCGGGCGGGUCGUCGUGCAUCGCUAGCCCCAGACGGCUGGAGUGGACCCAGUCGAGCGCGCCGCCGUGCUUUACCGUUGUGAUACCUGGGGACGCGGCCGCCUGGGACGUCCAGAACACGUUUAUGCUGUGUGCCCGUGCCUUUUCGGUGGUGCAAAUACAAGGAUUUAAUCGGAGCGACAGCAUCGUAUGUGAGA